GGACUAGACAAUUGAUGGCUGUUGUUUGUGGAUUAAUAUGGGGUGCCAUUCCUUUGGUUGGUGGGGUCUGGUUUAUGCUGUUCCUUGCACUUUCAACUGGUAUUGUCUACUGUUAUUAUGCGCUGGUGCUAAAAGUUGAUGAAGAAGAAUUUGGUGGGCAUGGAGCUCUCCUCCAGGAAGGGCUUUUUGCUUCUAUGACACUCUUUCUGCUUUCUUGGACCGUAGUCUACAGUUUGGCUCACUUCUGAUGUGGGCUUCUCAACUUGACUGAACUUCCAGUCACUUUUUCAAGUCAGAACUCAUAUUUUGGUAGAUGGUUCCAGGUGUU
rnacentral:misc_RNA from 1 species